rnacentral:rRNA from 1 species
UACGGGGGGGGCAAGCGUUGUUCGGAAUUACUGGGCGUUAAAGGGCUCGUAGGUGGCCAACUAAGUCAGACGUGAAAUCCCUCGGCUUAACCGGGGAACUGCGUCUGAUACUGGAUGGCUGGAGUAUGGGAGAGGAAUGCGGAAUUCCAGGUGUAGCGGUGAAAUGCGUAGAUAUCUGGAGGAACACCGGUGGCGAAGGCGGCAUUCUGGACCAUUACUGACGCUGAGGAGCGAAAGCCAGGGGAGCAAACGGG